UCAAACCGGUUGAACCGUGAACCAGUGAGGUUUUCGGUUCAGAUAGAAGUCAUAACCGUCUUUUUUCAAAACCGUUAUCGAACCACAUAACCGGCCGGGAACCGGUCAAUCGAACCGAACCGGGACCCAGCCGGUUUUCAGAUUUUCUACCAAAACCUAAUCCUCUUCUCCCGUCCUUGAGCACUCACUUCACUCACACACACACUACCCGCAGCAACAUUUGGCCUUCGAGCUCCUCCAUCACUCUGUCACUUGCUCCGUCCAGCCACUGCCGUGCCACCCCGCCGUUGCAAGUCGCAACUGUCAUCUCCAACCACUCUCCCCCAAGCCAUUCCCCCAAUCCUCAGUCCUUCCUCUAUCAACUCUCAACCCUAGGUUACAGUCUCCCCCACCACCGCAAGGCUCGACUCAGCGCUAAACAAUUGGUGCCUCCGCCUGUAUAUUCUCCUGGUAGCCCGUCGUCCGUCACACAUCAUGGGUCGUCGUGCUCAUUGCCUAGUCAACCGUCGCCCUCACCUUCUCAUCACCGGCGUUCUUGCUCCUUCUCCUUCAUACUCUGCUCAUUGCUCACUUCUCAGAGUCUCAUACUGAAAGUAAUGGUGCACAGGGAAGGAACUAGACAAAAGGUUAUUCAAUGUAAUAUUGAACACUAUUAGUAAUACGAACAAAGGUAAUUCAAUGUUCUUCACAUCAAUUCCUUAGUUCUAAGCUUGAUGCAGGUGUCCACAAGGAAGGAACGAGAAGCUAUCUUAGAUAUGCUUCCUUAGAUGUUAUGUUUUUCUUAGAUAAGUUUGUGGAAUGUUAAGAAAACCCAUAACGAGAAGCUCUGUUCCCCCGCGCUCCAGCUUUGUUUUUAAUGAUUAGUAUGUUGUUCCAGUUCUUGUUUU